rnacentral:rRNA from 1 species
AUUGAACGCUGGCGGUAUGCCUUACACAUGCAAGUCGAACGGUAGAGGGGCAACCCUCGAGAGUGGCGAACGGGUGAGUAAUACAUCGGAACGUGCCCAGUCGUGGGGGAUAACGUAGCGAAAGCUACGCUAAUACCGCAUACGACCCGAGGGUGAAAGCGGGGGACCUGCAAGGGCCUCGCGCGAUUGGAGCGGCCGAUGGCAGAUUAGGUAGUUGGUGGGGUAAAGGCCCACCAAGCCUGCGAUCUGUAGCUGGUCUGAGAGGACGACCAGCCACACUGGGACUGAGACACGGCCCAGACUCCUACGGGAGGCAGCAGUGGGGAAUUUUGGACAAUGGGCGAAAGCCUGAUCCAGCCAUACCGCGUGCGGGAAGAAGGCCUUCGGGUUGUAAACCGCUUUUGUCAGGGAAGAAAUCUUCCGGGUUAAUACCUCGGGGGGAUGACGGUACCUGAAGAAUAAGCACCGGCUAACUACGUGCCAGCCGCCGCAGUAAUAC